CCUACGGGAGGCUGCAGUGGGGAAUAUUGGACAAUGGGGGCAACCCUGAUCCAGCCAUGCCGCGUGUGUGAAGAAGGCCCUCGGGUUGUAAAGCACUUUCAGUGAGGAAGAACGCCUGGUGGUUAAUACCCAUCAGGAAAGACAUCACUCACAGAAGAAGCACCGGCUAACUCCGUUCCAGCAGCCGCGGUAAUACGGAGGGUGCGAGCGUUAAUCGGAAUUACUGGGCGUAAAGCGCGCGUAGGUGGCUUGAUAAGCCGGUUGUGAAAGCCCCGGGCUCAACCUGGGAACGGCAUCCGGAACUGUCAAGCUAGAGUGCAGGAGAGGAAGGUAGAAUUCCCGGUGUAGCGGUGAAAUGCGUAGAGAUCGGGAGGAAUACCAGUGGCGAAGGCGGCCUUCUGGACUGACACUGACACUGAGGUGCGAAAGCGUGGGUAGCAAACAGGAUUAGAUACCCGAGUAGUC
rnacentral:rRNA from 1 species